rnacentral:lncRNA from 1 species
AAGAACUUCUGUUCAAGUGAGAGGUAAUUUUCUUUUCAAUUCUAUUUCAAUUUGAUAUUAAAUUUUUUAUUUCAAAACUUAUUGUAUGUGUAUACAAUGCGUUUUUCAGUAUGUGUAGCAGGAUUGGGGUUUUGGUUGACAUUGAUUGUCUAAUAUAAUGUGCUUGGGGUUUGUGUUUGGAUUCUAGAUUUGUUUCUCCUGUUGAUACUGAGUUUAUAUAUGUACUUUUUCAACGAUUUUCUUUUCGUCAUUUUCGGCCUUGGUGUGUUGUGAACUCAGAAUUUUGGAAAUUUACGGUUUUUUGUUGUAGAAGUUGGGUUUCAGGUUUUGAUGAGCUAGAAUUGGUUGAUCCAUUACAUUAUUUACGGGGUAGCGUGAUGAUUUUUAAAAUUUCUUCUUUGAUGUGGAUUUUUGUUUGUUGUUUUUGGUUUGGUAGCUUAGGGAUCUAAUCGGAGAUAAAAUUGUGAUUUUCUUUAGGUGAUUUUUUGGGGAGCCUUGUUAAAUGCUCUUUAGGCUGGAAAUUAUGCAUGUAUUUGAUUUAUUCUGAGAAUUAGGUUGUUAGAGUUGAAUCUAAUUGACGAGUAUGAACUUCUUGGAUUAAAUCUUUCUUACGUUCUAGUAUUACAGUUAUGUCUAUAGCUUUAUGGAUUAGAUUUUCGCACAUUUAAUUUUGAAAUGGAGUUAAUUUGGCAGAUGGCUCGUACAAAGCAAACUGCUCGGAAGUCAACUGGUGGAAAGGCUCCCAGAAAGCAACUUGCUACCAAGGUUGCCUCCUGUACACAUAUUAUCUUUUUUUCUCCACAUGAAUUUAUAUGUGAAAACUAUUAAUUUAUGUUAUAAUGAAAUGUUUGGUAAAUGUAGGCUGCCCGUAAGUCUGCCCCUACUACAGGCGGUGUGAAGAAACCCCACCGUUAUCGUCCUGGUACUGUUGCUCUACGGUGAGUACUCUUCUUGUGAAGAGAUUUGUUUAGGUCAAUUUAUUGUUCUUUUAUGUCCAGUUGUGAUGUUUUAUGAAAACAUUUUUUGAUGUGAUGUAGUGAAAUUCGUAAGUACCAGAAGAGUACUGAGCUCCUGAUCAGGAAGCUUCCUUUUCAGAGGCUUGUGCGUGAGAUUGCUCAGGACUUUAAGGUAAAUAAAUCAUUGAUGCAGAACCUUGCUCUUGCUAUUUGAUUGCUGUUGAAAUAGUGGACACUAUGAUUUAUUGAUGGGACUUCUAAUUUAUUGAUUUUUUCCGCGGUUCAGACUGAUCUGCGUUUCCAAAGCCAUGCUGUUUUAGCACUUCAGGAGGCUGCAGAGGCCUACCUUGUGGGCCUUUUUGAGGACACCAAUCUGUGUGCUAUUCACGCCAAGCGUGUGACGAUAAUGCCCAAGGACAUUCAGCUGGCUCGCAGAAUCAGGGGUGAGCGUGCUUAGAUGAUUUGAUUCUCGGACAAGGUGUGUGGUGAUGGUGUUUUUUAGUUUAGUUUGUUGUUAAGAAGCAUAAAGAUGCUAGACAGUAUUAAGCUCAAAUAGUUAUUGUUAGUGCUGUUUAUGGGUUGUAAUGGUAGUGUUCCCUUUGGAUGGAAACUAUACUUUUCACAGCUAUUACUCUAUGGACUAGAAUGUUUCCUUUGAACUGCUUUUGGUGAGGAAUUUCCUAUUUGCAUCAUAUGUAGUGGAUCUGUUUUCUAGUAUAUUGCUGUGGUGCAAUUUAUGUUUGCUGUUUGUUGUAUAUUUGCGAAGGUUUGAUUAAUAAUUAUAGGAUUCUUUGAUUGCUAAUUGCCGGUGGCCAAAUAACUGCUUUAUUUGCAAAUCCUUCUGGUCAAGUAUUCAACUUAGGCAUGACUGAAUGGGAAUCAAAGCCUUGAUGGCAUUUUCAGUGCAGUUUAUAGGCAUGUUUUCUAUCUUAUAUUGAACUGCACUUUGUGGUAAGAUUUUAACUUUUUCUUUUCCUUUGAUUUGGACUGGUGCUCGGCAAAUCAAAAAUGUCUUCAGAUCCAUUGAACGUUGUGUCCUCUCAUGUGUGGUUGCUGCAAUGUAUUUUCUCUAUUAGCAUUUAGAUUGGUUACGAAAGUGCCUACUUAUCUGAAUGUGAUUGUAAGUGGUAUAUUUAUGGUUCAGCCUCUAUAUUUUGCGCCAUGGAAGCUAUAAUUGAAGCUAGCUGAUGUUGACCGAGAACCUACUUUUGUCAUGUAUGUAUGCAAAGUUAAAGGUCUUUGGAAUAAGCUGUUUGUACAGCACCAAAAGGUGGGACCCAAGGUCUUUAGGCUUGUCAGUUAGCAGUUUACUGGGAUGUGCACAAGGCUAUCAAGAUUGGCAGGAUGAAUUAAAGGGUAGGUACUAGGUAAUCUCACUUUACAUUUAUCUAAGGAUGGGCUCGGCUCGUUAAAGUGCGAGCUGAGCUCAAGCUUGUUCAAGCAAGAGCCGAGCUCCCACGAGCUUGAGAUUUUUUUAUUAGUUUUCUUUUUACCUUUUUGUUCACAUUUUUUUUAAGGGGCUCGAGAACUUUAGGCACAUGGACCAGAAGUUGCUCGUGUGGGCUCGGACUCGUUCCAAAACAAGCCCUAGCUGUCCAUGGCCGUGUGGACGAGCUACUUGGCUCUUUUGUCCUCCCCUACAUUUAUUUCAUCACCUAGGGAAAAACUGGUACAAUGGCUGGGGGAUUAUUCGUGGACUUUUUCUAUCUGGAAUGGUUUUGGGUCUCUAGAUUCCUGUUAUUUAAGUAUUUUAUUUUUCUCUCUUAUUGGAAUUGCAUGUUUCAAUUUCUGGCGAUGAUCAAUUAUGACUUCGCGUGAAAUAAAUUUUUCUUUACUCCUUUCUCUGUCACCGUUUCCCUUGUG